CCUGUUUACAAAGUUCUGAGAGACCUCUGUGGUUCUGAAGUUCUGCACCUUUGGGAAAGAAUGCUGGGGAAGUAGGAGGAAAUCUUGAGUAAGGGGCUCAUUUUAUUUUAUUUUUUCUACAGACUGCAAUCAGUUGAGGGAUGAUGUGGACUAGGAAUUGCAUUGUGUAUUCAGCCACCAAGUUGCAGGAAAAGUGGACCACUUGUCCCCCCACUUCCUUGUCCCCAGGACCAAAUGCAACUCCCUGAAAACCAGGAAAAAGCCGAGCAUCAGGGUGCUGGUGACUCAUGGCACUGGAGAGACCUAAAGCAGUCUUCACAUUUAUACCUGAUCUAACUCCAGAAAGGCACCUCUGGGGCCAGCUUCCAGCAGCUGCACUGGGACCCUGCAGGGGAAGUCAGCACUGCACUGUAACCAGAUCACCUGGGAAAGCAACCCCCAGGGCCGGGGCCGGCAGCCUGGGUAACCGAGGAGCUAAACGCUCCUGAGAGUUGUGCCUCCAGGUUUCCCUGGAUUUCUUUUGGGCCCUUCCAAGCUGAGGCAGGGGGUGGGUUGGGGGUGGAGCAGGAGAAUAGGAGGCCGGUAGUGAGAGGCACAAGCCCCCUCCCGGCAACAGUGAGCUUGAAGAUAUGCAGCCAAGUGCAAGUGCUGCAGCCGCCCCCGCUGGGAUGGGUGGGGCUGUGACUCUCCAGCGCCCUGAGGAGAGAAGCUCCUCUGGCCCCCCUAACCAAGCAGUGGUGAUGAGGCCAGAAAUCAGAGCCUAUUCAGAGCUCAACGCACAGGCUCUCUCUCCUCUCCCCCUCGACCCCCUGGGAUUAUCCAUUUCCUUCAAAAGCAAUUCUUGCUUCUACUCCCAGGACCUAAGGCCCGCCUGUCAAGCAGCGAAUUUCAACAGGUCUUUUUAAAGUGACAGAGCCCCCAGGUGUGCUUACCAAAAGAACAUGGUCUCGUGUGUACCUCAUGUGCUCCUUCCUCCAGCUUUUUGUGAGUAAGACUAACUUUCCCAACCGUUCUGGAUGUAAAUCCGUGUACCGGCAAGAGUCCUGACUGGCUCUGAUGGUACCCCGGAUUUGGGACCGGGUGAGCUUGGCUCCAGGAGUUUUCAGAAAGCCCUCCAGUCUAAUGCAGAGACAGGAGCCCAGCUGGCCCCUCCAAGCAGGCUUGGGAAGGGGGCCCACCCUGAGUUUAAGCCCGGGAAACCCAGGGGCCCAGCUGCCUGACGGAAGUCAGCCAAUGGGGGAGGGGCAGGACCCCUGGCCAAGCUCUCUGUAGUGCAGCUUGAGGACUAAGUGUGGGGAUAGAGGGCACAUAGGCACUGCGAGGUGAGGGGAAAACAAAACAAAACAAAACAUUCUGGCGAUGUGUGUAAGAAGCAGAUCUGCCUGGAGCCCAGGCUCCUGCCCUGGUUACUUGGCUGCCAAUGGGCAACUCUGAGGGCCAUGUCACCCUUCCCAGGCCAGGAGGAGUCUGGGAUGAACCCCACGUCUCUGUGCUUCCCCCAGGUCAGUUGCACCCAUAACUCAAAGACCGAGGUCCCUCAUUCCAAUCCUCUCUCCAGCCCUCCGGGGAGGGGGCAGCACCAUUUUCCAGAGCGGCGCACUGUGACACCUCCACGCUCAUCCCACCAAUCAGUCAAUAACUGCCCAAACCAGAGCCCUUACAGGAACAGAAGAAUAUCCAGCAAUAAAAACUAGAAACAUGCCCCAUGACUUGUGGGGGGGGGGGGGGGGGUCAGUGUGCAGACACAGCCUCAAGGACUUUUCAUCAACGACGAACAUUCCCAAUUGCCUUCAGUCUGUGUCCUUAACACUUAGGCAGUCCGCCACGACCCCGGGCUGCCCAGCUUCUCCUGCCCGACUCAGCUGCGCUGGUCCUGCUCACACCAGCGCACAGUCCAAGCCAGCUAGGACGCCGGGGCCACGUCUGCACCAACCCAGCCAAGGGCUCGAGGCGCGCUAGGCCUGCACAGCCCGCGGCUGCAAGAGCACUCAGAGUGUCCUUCAACUCUUUGCAGAAAACUUCACAGCCAAGGAAGCUCAGCGGCCUGAGCCACAGGGUUUUGUUUUGUGUGUUCAGAGGCAACAGUUUAUUUUGGUUUGCAGCGGUGUCCUGUGACAGCGCAGCGAGUUUCUCUUCAGCGAAAGAAAAGAAAAAAGCCCUCUCCCAGUGAAACGGGACACCACGGUUCCCAGUGGCCCAGGGCCUUGGAGAUUGAACUUUGCUGCAGCUCUCAUUCCGGGGCAAAGCGCUUGGCCGGCUGGUGACAAAAGAGCCUGUCUGCAGGUUGGCGCAAUACUUUCAGCAUGUGAACACCACAUGGGAAAGAAGCUGGCAUUGAACUUAGGUUUCCAGAGCAUCUAUUAUGGUCUGCACCCUCCUGGGAAACGGGUAUAUGUUAUCUAUGGUAAUUGACACAAGGAUACUACGAAACAGGCGAUUUUAUCACCAUUUGUUAAAUUAAGAAAGAAAUUGGCUUAAGCAAUGUAAGUAACUCACCCAGCUCACCCAAUGAGUGGCCAGGAUGAAUCUGGGCUGUCUGGUCGGAGCCUGUGAGAGCCAUACUGCCUGCCUUUGUCAAGUGGCAGCUCCUCCUGCUGUGUUCUGGGGAAAGUGCUGGGGAAAGUCAAUUAACGGCACUGGACCUGGCCUUCGAGCCAGCAUCCUCACUUGCAAAUAAGGCUGAGUGGAGCCUUUUGAUGCAAAGAUUAAGUGUAUGUGAAGGUGCCUUGUAAACUGUGAAGUGGCAUGCACGUGGCACACAGAGGUGUCAGGAUGCUUACCGUCUCAGCUGGUCAGUACACAGGACUAUGAAGAUGACAAGGGCAAGCCCCACUUGCUUUACAUUUAUUUUAAAAGCCCCUCUAGCAUGAGACAACAAGGUGAACUGAUGGCUCCUCAUUCCACUCCCUGAGUGCAGCUAAUUUUUCAUCUGCAGGCAGGCAGUUUUGCAAACAAGGCUCUGAACUUGAAGCUCAGAGGGUGAGCGAGACCUCGUGCCCCCGGGGCCUCUGCUUGCUCCAUGUCGGUGCCCCAACGUCCAGGGAUGCAAAGCACAGAGGACCCUUAGAAGCCACACCUGGAAGUGCUCAUUCAAUGGACCGAGGGAUGAAAGUGAGGAGAGAGUUAGGGGAGCUGUGCACAGUAAGUAGGGGCUGGAAAUGGGAUGUGACCCAGGACAUCCAGCAUGGUUAGAUUUGGCCAGGAGAGCUGUGACAAUAGGGGAAGCUGGUCCCCAAACCCCACACCCUUUUAAAAAAUCAAUCCUGGUGGGCGCAGUGGCAGAAGGACCUGAGUUUGUUACAAAGACCUCAGCAAUCCUCUCCCUCUCCUGACCUGUAAACACCAAGACAAUGCAAGUGUCAGACGCCUCUCCGCCCGCAAUGAGGCCUGGGAAGCCCAAGUUGAUUGGCUUUCUUUCCAGGAAGGCAGAGCCCAGACGCACUUCAAGAGUCACCUGUUGCCUAUUACAAUGAAGUUAGAUGUCUCCUGACCUCAGCCCAUCUGUGAAGUUAAAAACCCUGUUGGAUAAAAAGUUUCUGCUUCAGUCUUGCUGUCCACGCCCGUGGAAGAAACUACAAUAGGGGAUUUACUCUCCUGGCCCAAAUCAGGUCCAGCUUCUGGGCCUCCCUACUCCAUGCUGGGGGAUACUGGACAUUCAGAGUGCCUUUCUGUCAGCCCCGCAACACAGCCCCACUGGGGUGGCUGACUGUGCUGACCUUGUGUCUCUGAGCUCAGUUUCAACUGGGGUGUAUCUGAGGGUUAGUCUUCAGAGACCUUGGAAUGAGGUAAGACUUUCCUAGUUCCAUGUAGGUGAUUAUUUUUCCUUUUGUCUAUAUUGAGUUAUUUUGGUUCAUUUGAGAAGUAACUGGGCAGGAGGCUUGUUGACAUUUACUUGAAAUGCCAUCCUUUGUCACCUCUAAAUCAAUCUGUCCUCUUCUCCAGGAUGGGAUCUCUUUGAAACGAGUAGUUUCAUUUUCAAGGUCGGGGCUCUAGCACCUAGCCCAGUGUGUGGCAGGCAGGGAGUGCUCAGGGCAUGUUUGUGGGGACUUUUCUCAACAGUGUGCAGGGCUGAAUGAGGGAGUGGAAGCCUCUACUCUGCAGCGAAGAUAAGACAAUUAUGAUCAGCCUCUGAAUUCCCAUCACCAUUGCCACCAGCUGGGCCAUAGGCACUUGUGCAGCCACAUGGAAUACCUCCUUUGUUAGAAGUACCCAGUUUGGACACUGUGGCCCUUUGGUUAGCUUUCAUUUUCAUUGUAUCUCUUCAUACAUUUUUAGAUUAAAAAAAGCUUCAUUUAAUAAAAAUAAAACAUUAUUUCUUUAAAGCAA